rnacentral:rRNA from 1 species
GACGAACGCUGGCGGCGUGCCUAAUACAUGCAAGUUGAGCGCUGAAGGUUGGUACUUGUACCAACUGGAUGAGCAGCGAACGGGUGAGUAACGCGUGAGGAAUCUGCCUUUGAGCGGGGGACAACAUUUGGAAACGAAUGCUAAUACCGCAUAAAAACUUUAAACACAAGUUUUAAGUUUGAAAGAUGCAAUUGCAUCACUCAAAGAUGAUCCCGCGUUGUAUUAGCUAGUUGGUGAGGUAAAGGCUCACCAAGGCGAUGAUACAUAGCCGACCUGAGAGGGUGAUCGGCCACAUUGGGACUGAGAAACGGCCCAAACUCCUACGGGAGGCAGCAGUAGGGAAUCUUCGGCAAUGGACGAAAGUCUGACCGAGCAACGCCGCGUGAGUGAAGAAGGUUUUCGGAUCGUAAAACUCUGUUGGUAGAGAAGAACGUUGGUGAGAGUGGAAAGCUCAUCAAGUGACGGUAACUACCCAGAAAGGGACGGCUAACUACGUGCCAGCCGCCGCCGUAA